rnacentral:rRNA from 1 species
AGAGUUUGAUCAUGGCUCAGGAUGAACGCUAGCUACAGGCUUAACACAUGCAAGUCGAGGGGCAGCAUGGUCUUAGCUUGCUAAGACCGAUGGCGACCGGCGCACGGGUGAGUAACGCGUAUCCAACCUGCCUUACACUCUUGGACAGCCUUCUGAAAGGGAGAUUAAUACAAGAUGUUAUCAUGAGUAAGCAUUUUCACAUGAUUAAAGGUUUACCGGUGUAAGAUGGGGAUGCGUUCCAUUAGAUAGUAGGCGGGGUAACGGCCACCUAGUCUUCGAUGGAUAGGGGUUCUGAGACGGAAGGUCCCCCANAUUGGAACUGAGACACGGUCCAAACUCCUACGGGAGGCA